GGAUUUAUUUAUUUAUUCUUACAAUUAAAGAAGAAAUUAGCAGCAGGUUGUUGGUUGUCGGCAUUCUAUUACUUACUAAAGAAAGGAUUCUUAUAGGACUCUUACAUUGAAUUCCUAUACCUAAUCUUUUGGUAUUACUCCUACCUCUAGUAAGAAUGCUUGCUAGCUGAAUUGCGGUUGUCUUUUCAACUUCAUUAGGAUGAAUUAAAUUCUAGGAGUUGUCGGACUUAAAGAAAGGAACACUUUUUAUAAGUGUUGCAAAUGUUUUUGUAGUACAGUAUCUCUGGUAAGUACGCAUGCUCAGAGAAGAAGUUAGGAAUUUGAGCUACUAAUUUGAGUAUAUGUUAUGCUGCAUUGUGCAAAUAAUAGAUUCUGUGGCCUCUUAAUUAAAGUUUGCAUUGUGUAUGAGAACGCCAGAAUGUUAAGCAGAAUUAGAAGUUUAUGCUACAAUCAUUCUGAUAUGUUGACCAUCAAGUGAUACAUUAAAAUGAAGGUAGUUAAGAAUAUAGGUUAGACGAUAGGGAGUGAUGCAUAACUAUAAAGUUUCCUUAGCCUUGGCCGUCAUUUUAGGAAUGAGUACAGUUCAAAUCACCAUUUGAUGAAAGUGACUAAUAAAAUAGGCGCAUUGCAAAGUCCUUUUUCUUCACUCUAACUGUUAAGUAAGCCCUUAUAGAUUUUGGUUGAGUUAUUUUCUUUCCACAACAAAAAAAGAAAAAAAAGAAAAAAACGAAAAAAGUAAACCCUUAUAGAUUUAUUGAUUUUGAAUGUAGGUAUGUAUCUUAUGAGUAGAAUGUGAAAUAUCUUGGACUAGAGAAAGACUUGUUAGAUAUGUUUCAAGGAAUUGCUACUAUUGACAGUAAUGUGUAAUCCAACUCCACUCAAGGCUUCACAAUUGGAAAUAAAUUCAAGGCUGCAUUUACUGCCUAACAAAUUUUUGUGCAGUUGAUCACCUCCGGAUGUUGGAUUAGUUGGUGGAGGCUUGAUCUUUGGAUUUUGGCUUUUGUGGAAUAUGGGUUGUGGCAUUACCAAUAUUACAAAGUGACCACUACACUACAGCCACUUUAUUCAGUUGACUUGUAAUUUAAAUUUUUUGUUUAUUGAGUUAAGUGUACCAAGAAGAAUGUAACAUAUGUACAUAGGUUAUUUAGUUUCUGUAACCCUUAUUAAAUUAGUUCUCUUGCUUGUGCUCCCUUGCUUUUAUUUUGAUUAAUGAUGACAGUGCUUCAAUUCUGACAUAUAUUUAUUCUUUGCUUA